rnacentral:rRNA from 1 species
UACGGAGGGGGCCAGCGUUGUUCGGAAUCAUUGGGCGUAAAGGGCGCGUAGGCGGCUUGGUAAGUUCGUUGUGAAAUCCCUCGGCUCAACCGAGGAACUGCGACGGAUACUGCUUGGCUUGAGUCCCGGAGAGGGUAGCGGAAUUCCCAGUGUAGCGGUGAAAUGCGUAGAUAUUGGGAGGAACAUCGGUGGCGAAGGCGGCUACCUGGACGGGUACUGACGCUGAUGCGCGAAAGCUAGGGGAGCAAACAGG